GAUGAACGCUAGCUACAGGCUUAACACAUGCAAGUCGUGGGGCAGCAUGAAGGAAGCUUGCUUCCUUUGAUGGCGACCGGCGCACGGGUGAGUAACGCGUAUCCAACCUUCCCCUUACUAGAGGAUAGCCCGGCGAAAGUCGGAUUAAUACUCUAUGUUCUCCUUUGCAGGCAUCUAAGGAGGAAUAAAGGUUUACCGCUAUGGGAUGGGGAUGCGUCUGAUUAGGUUGCAGGCGGGGUAACGGCCCACCUGGCCAACGAUCAGUAGGGGUUCUGAGAGGAAGGUCCCCCACACUGGUACUGAGACACGGACCAGACUCC
rnacentral:rRNA from 1 species